rnacentral:rRNA from 1 species
GAUGAACGCUGGCGGCGUGCCUAAUACAUGCAAGUCGAGCGAACAGACGAGGAGCUUGCUCCUCUGACGUUAGCGGCGGACGGGUGAGUAACACGUGGAUAACCUACCUAUAAGACUGGGAUAACUUCGGGAAACCGGAGCUAAUACCGGAUAAUAUAUUGAACCGCAUGGUUCAAUAGUGAAAGACGGGUUUGCUGUCACUUAUAGAUGGAUCCGCGCCGCAUUAGCUAGUUGGUAAGGUAGCGGCUUACCAAGGCAACGAUGCGUAGCCGACCUGAGAGGGUGAUCGGCCACACUGGAACUGAGACACGGUCCAGACUCCUACGGGAGGCAGCAGUAGGGAAUCUUCCGCAAUGGGCGAAAGCCCGACGGAGCAACGCCGCGUGAGUGAUGAAGGUCUUCGGAUCGUAAAACUCUGUUAUUAGGGAAGAACAAAUGUGUAAGUAACUAUGCACGUCUUGACGGUACCUAAUCAGAAAGCCACGGCUAACUACGUG